CAUAGACUUAAUGCAACAGCAAAAUGCCUUGUUCCCUGCCUUUGCUGCAACCCAUUUGGCCUCAAGAAGCAAGGGACCUGGAAACAUAACUUUGAUGUCUAAUUGCAAUGGAACAGCACCUCAAAAAAUUGGAUAACCUAUCUGAGCAUCCUGUCCAAACCUUCAUCUUUUUGGCCUAUACUUCUGCCACAAGAUUUCUCAGAGAAAUAUCUAUAUUUAUACAUUAUCUUCUUCUGCCAAUUUAAAAUUCACUUUAAAUAAUAGUAGAAUUACAGAAGCAUUGACUAAGCCCCAUACUGUUGUACUGAAGAAUGUAACUUGUUUCAAAGAACCAAGAUGCCCUGGGAAAGUGAAGUCACCACACUUUUCCAGUUAAUGUAUUUCUGACAUGCCUCUUCUGAUUUACCCUCACACUACUAAUGCCAAUUCACUACGUUGGAGCUUGCAUGACAACCAACUUCUUCACCAUCACGUCAGGAAUUGAAAAAUCAUCAAAUGACCUCAAUAUGUUUAACAACAAGUUUUAGCAAUCUAGAAAAGCAAAUAAUGGAUCUCAGUCUCACAGUCUACAACAGUCUGGGAAAGCAUUCUACACAGGAAAAUGAGAACAGAGAAAAAGGACAUUUCUCAUUUAAAAGGCUAGUAGCUUUGAAAAGAGAAGAAUGGAGAAAGCAGAAGAAUGCAGUGCUGAAAGAGGAAAGUUUUUUUUUUUUUUAAUCUACAGGCAUUCUGCUAUAGCAAAAUAGAAAAUAUAAGACUUGUUUUAGAAGAAUCCUAGUUAUAUAUGCAUGAGAUAUAGUUUUAGGUUAAGGGUAAUUCUUAAAUACAAACUCCCCAAAAUACAGAUUAUUCCUCUUUUCUUUUAGUUUGCUACUAGUCUCCAGUAAUAUAUUCCUCCAAAUUCUCAGCUUAUGUGCCUUGCUUUUUCAUCUAGUAACAAGCUAUACGAUUCCCUGGAAUGCUACCUCCCUUUUGGAGAUCUAACAUCUCUAAUG
rnacentral:lncRNA from 1 species